ACGGACACAUCACCUUGAAAAACACUGUUUUCCGUACGAUCUCCGAAGUUAACCAACAUCGAGCCUGGUUAAUAUCUAGUUAGGUGACCGCUUGGGAAUAUCAGGUGCU